rnacentral:rRNA from 1 species
ACACUCCUGCGGGAGGCAGCAGUAGGGAAUCUUCGGCAAUGGGGGCAACCCUGACCGAGCAACGCCGCGUGAGUGAAGAAGGUUUUCGGAUCGUAAAGCUCUGUUGUAAGUCAAGAACGAGUGUGAGAGUGGAAAGUUCACACUGUGACGGUAGCUUACCAGAAAGGGACGGCUAACUACGUGCCAGCAGCCGCGGUAAUACGUAGGUCCCGAGCGUUGUCCGGAUUUAUUGGGCGUAAAGCGAGCGCAGGCGGUUUGAUAAGUCUGAAGUUAAAGGCUGUGGCUCAACCAUAGUUCGCUUUGGAAACUGUCAAACUUGAGUGCAGAAGGGGAGAGUGGAAUUCCAUGUGUAGCGGUGAAAUGCGUAGAUAUAUGGAGGAACACCGGUGGCGAAAGCGGCUCUCUGGUCUGUAACUGACGCUGAGGCUCGAAAGCGUGGGGAGCGAACAGGAUUAGAAACCCGUGUAGUCCC